CUCAAUCACCACAACAGAUGGAUAUAAUCCCGGGGAAGUCCAGCCCAACCCAAUGGGAGCUAUCCACCUCAGCUUCCCCACUCCCCCCGGCCUUAUCUCAAAAUCAAAACCCCAUCUUCUCAUCUCUAGCCACUAACUUGGCUUUCGUUCCUCGGAAUCUAAAAACCAUCCCUCUGGGUUCCCGCACAUUCCUCCCUCAGAAUCUCAAUCUUCCCCACCCCACUGAGGUGAGAUCGAAUAUGUCUCUCACAAUACCCACGAACCUCUCUAAGCCAAUAUUGUCGAAGCCGAGGCUUGGCCUCGGCCUCGGUCCCGGCUCGAGGCCGCAGACUAGGCCACGUUCGUUGAUCACGUGCUCGGUUUCCGAGCAGAAGCAGCCCUCAGCGCAACCAGAGAAGGCUCUCCAGGCGUUCUCGGCUGCGCUAGCGCUGUCGUCGGUGCUGCUCUCCGCGGCGCCCGAGCCGGCUGCCGCGGACAUAGCGGGGCUCACCCCGUGCAAGGAGUCGAAGCAAUUUGCCAAGCGGGAGAAGCAGCAGCUGAAGAAGCUGGAGUCAUCGCUGAAGCUGUAUGCCCCCGACAGCGCCCCGGCCUUGGCAAUCAAGGCCACCAUGGAGAAGACCAAGCGGCGGUUUGACAACUAUGGGAAGCAAGGGCUACUGUGCGGGACCGAUGGGCUUCCCCACCUUAUCGUGAGCGGGGACCAGCGCCACUGGGGGGAGUUCAUCACCCCAGGGAUACUAUUCCUCUACAUUGCAGGAUGGAUCGGGUGGGUGGGUCGGAGCUACCUGAUCGCUAUCAGGGAUGAUAAGAAGCCCACCAUGAAGGAGAUCAUCAUUGAUGUGCCCUUGGCCUCACGUCUCAUGUUCAGGGGCUUCAUCUGGCCCGUUGCUGCCUACAGAGAGUUCGUGAACGGUGACCUCAUCGUCAAGGACGUCUGAUCGAUGUAUAGCAAUAUCCUUAAUCUAUACUCGGCUAUAUCAUCCCCAUCCGAAGAUAGAUGAAUGGUCAGUUGGUUGCCAUUUCAAACUAGCUAGACUCUUAACAAGGCAGGGCCUUCUCAACAAGUUAUUAUGCCGACAGUGGUAUAUAUUGACGAGUGACGACAUGGUUCGUAGAUGCUUAAGUUACUUAUUACCGGAAAAGAACCCAAAUUGCUCACACCCGUGGAUCUUUAGUGGUCGUAGAACGGAAGAUGGACUGGGAGAAGGGAGACACAGAAUGAAUUACUUUUGGAAGAGAUGACGGUAUUUUAGUUUCAUGGUGUACGUAAUGUGAAAACUGCAUCUUUUAAUUCAGCUGGAAGAAAAAGACUUGUAAACCUCGUAACAUGUUGUUGAUAUUUAUAUAUGCCUUCCCUAACUUCAGUUACUCUAAAA